UACGUAGGUGGCAAGCGUUGUCCGGAUUUAUUGGGCGUAAAGCGCGCGCAGGCGGAUCAUUCAGUCUGUCUUAAAAGUUCCCGGCUUAACCCCGUGGUGGGAUGGAAACUGCGGAUCUAGAGUACCGGAGAGGAAAGUGGAAUUCCUAGUGUAGCGGUGAAAUGCGUAGAUAUUAGGAAGAACACCAGUGGCGAAGGCGACUCUCUGGACGGUAACUGACGCUGAGGCUCGAAAGCGUGGGGAGCGAACGGG
rnacentral:rRNA from 1 species